AUUGAACGCUGGCGGCGUGCUUAACACAUGCAAGUCGAUCGGUAACGCGGAGGCAACCCUGGCGACGAGAGGCGGACGGGUGAGGAACGCUUGGGAAUCUGCCCUUCAGCGGGGGACAACACGGGGAAACUCGUGCUAAUACCGCAUACGCUCCACGGAGGAAAGCCGGGGACCGCAAGGCCUGGCACUGAAGGAUGAGCCCAAGUCGGAUUAGCUAGUUGGCGGGGUAACGGCCCGCCAAGGCGCCGAUCCGUAGCUGGUCUGAGAGGACGAUCAGCCACACUGGGACUGAGACACGGCCCAGACUCCUACGGGAGGCAGCAGUGGGGAAUAUUGGACAAUGGGGGAAACCCUGAUCCAGCGACGCCGCGUGGGUGAAGAAGGCCUGCGGGUUGUAAAGCCCUUUCGGUAGGGACGAAAGCUCUCGACCUAACACGUCGGAAGGUUGACUUAACCUACAAAAGAAGCACCGGCUAACUCUGUGCCAGCCGCCGCAGUAACAC
rnacentral:rRNA from 1 species